rnacentral:rRNA from 1 species
UACGAAGGGGCUAGCGUUGCUCGGAAUCACUGGGCGUAAAGGGUGCGUAGGCGGGUCUUUAAGUCAGGGGUGAAAUCCUGGAGCUCAACUCCAGAACUGCCCUUGAUACUGAGGAUCUUGAGUUCGGGAGAGGUGAGUGGAACUGCGAGUGUAGAGGUGAAAUUCGUAGAUAUUCGCAAGAACACCAGUGGCGAAGGCGGCUCACUGGCCCGAUACUGACGCUGAGGCACGAAAGCGUGGGGAGCAAACAGG